GUGGUAAUCUUACUGUGACUGUGGCACUGAGCAGUGUCCCACAGCCCAAGACACCACGCAGAGUGAGGCUGGUUCCUGCCGACAGGGCCUGUCAAGGCAUCAGGUUCCCUGUGCGAUGGCUCCAUACAAG